rnacentral:lncRNA from 1 species
ACGCCCUGGCAGCGUCCAUGCUCACUUCGGUCUCUAGUCUGGACCACUUCGGUAGGGCCAUGAUACUCGGUUAGCAAAAAAAAAAAAAAAAUACAAAUUUCGAGUACUGUUCAAUUAUUUUCUUUCUUCUUCUUUUUUUAUUUCCUUUUAUUUUGAUAUGUUUUAGUAUUCUACUUUCGCUAAAAAUAUUAUGACUUGAGUCCAUAGAAUAAGGUUAGAUUCAAAUCCUAAUAGAGAUGUAUCUUAUUUUUGGGUAUAAAAUAUAAAAUCCAUUGGUUUAUAAGAUAUAUCCGUUUCUUAUUAUUUGAGGAGCAUUAGAUAAAACUAACCUUUAGUUCAUGUGUUUAUUACAUGUGUGCCAUUU